rnacentral:lncRNA from 1 species
GUCUGUAUUUCCGCCGGCGCGAAACGAGCGUAGCUUCCUUGUCGUGUGGCCUCAGUCCUUCGCCGUCCCUCGCCGUCCUUCGCCAUCGCACGCCACCGCACCCCAUCUCUCGAAAUCUGCAGACAUCUUGAUUUUUCCCACGCUGUCUGUCAGGUCUCCGCCGCCACUCGACGCCAGGGCGCCGGGUGAGUCCACAGCAGGGCGCAUGGUCGGCUCCACUCUCACCAUCGGGGGAAACUGAGGCCCCGGGGAAGGCGGCCAGAGAGGUCAGGCCCUGUCCUUGGUGCAGUGUCUCGUCCUCUUUGCCGGAGUGAGCCCCCCAGGAUUCGCGUGUCCUCGGGAAAGACACUGGCAGGCCUUGUGGGCUGUGCUGCACCUCGGACGGCUUCGCACCAGCCAGCGCCCUCUCUCUCCUGCAGCACUCUGAUCUGCACCCCCUGAGGGGCUUCCACUGUCCGCGGGGUGAGAAUGCCCCUGGGAGUGUCACAUGACUGCCGCCCCAUGUGUGUGAGAGGCGUCCUCUGGGAGAGCAUGGAUCCUGAGGUCCCAGGAUUGUCAGCUGACCUCUGUCCUGUGUGCCCAGUGGCCCCAGGUGACGUGUCUUCAAGAAGAGGCUGAGCUGCGGUGCUUGUAAGAGUCAUGUGCUGUUCCUGGGGCUUGGAUGAUGUAGGGGAAGCAAGGUGAAAGUGGUAUCCCGUGGUUCCACGUUCUGUCCUGCUGUGGGGCUGUCCCUCACAUGCUUUCAGUGGCUGUUGCAGAGGAAGAGCCUCCGGAAAUCUGCGUGGGUCUCAGCCUUAGAUCCAAGGACAGUCCAAGGAAGUCCUAAGACCAUGGAGUUGGUGAUCUGGGAUCUGGGUUUGCUGAUAUUUCUCACCGUGAAUCUCUUGGUGGUGUUUGUGGGCACGAGAGGGGCAGAGAAUGGAGAGUGAGGCUACCACAUGAAGCGUCACCAGAGCUGCUCCCUGCUGCCUGCUCAGAGCACCCCGGAUCCACUGUUCAAUCUGCACAAGAUUCGGGGUCCAGACAUGGGAGACUUCAGCUGCCUCAGAGGACCGUGGACAGGGAAGGCCAGCCUCGCAUCCCUCUGUCCAUGCCUGGAAUGACUUUAAUAACCAAGAGUUUUAUUUUUGAAUUUGUAGCUGUCGUUCACUUUUUACCCACCCAUUCAAUAAACCUUACAGAAUUGCUCCA